GGGUUGUGAGGUUAAGCGACUAAGCGUACACGGUGGAUGCCCUGGCAGUCAGAGGCGAUGAAGGACGUGCUAAUCUGCGAUAAGCGUCGGUAAGGUGAUAUGAACCGUUAUAACCGGCGAUUUCCGAAUGGGGAAACCCAGUGUGAUUCGUCACACUAUCAUUAACUGAAUCCAUAGGUUAAUGAGGCGAACCGGGGGAACUGAAACAUCUAAGUACCCCGAGGAAAAGAAAUCAACCGAGAUUCCCCCAGUAGCGGCGAGCGAACGGGGAGCAGCCCAGAGCCUGAAUCAGUGUGUGUGUUAGUGGAAGCGUCUGGAAAGGCGCGCGAUACAGGGUGACAGCCCCGUACACAAAAAUGCACAUGCUGUGAGCUCGAUGAGUAGGGCGGGACACGUGGUAUCCUGUCUGAAUAUGGGGGGACCAUCCUCCAAGGCUAAAUACUCCUGACUGACCGAUAGUGAACCAGUACCGUGAGGGAAAGGCGAAAAGAACCCCGGCGAGGGGAGUGAAAAAGAACCUGAAACCGUGUACGUACAAGCAGUGGGAGCACAGAGCAAUCUGUGUGACUGCGUACCUUUUGUAUAAUGGGUCAGCGACUUAUAUUCUGUAGCAAGGUUAACCGAAUAGGGGAGCCGAAGGGAAACCGAGUCUUAACUGGGCGUUAAGUUGCAGGGUAUAGACCCGAAACCC
rnacentral:rRNA from 1 species